UGGCCAGCCUUGCAGACUUCAAAAUCACUUUGCUCUCACAAUCGCAUGAGCCAAUUCCUUAAAAUAAAUCCCUAGGUAUAUAUGCAUCCUAUUGGUUCUCCUUCUCUGGAGACCCCUGACUAAUACAUUAUUAUUCUCAUUGUUGGCACUGGGCAGUUUGGAUGACAGCAAUGACAUCAGCAGGAAGAAGCCAUCUUGUUCUACAAGCCAAGCACAGAGACCUCAGUAGAAACCAAUGCUGCUGCCACCUCGGAACUCCAGCCUCCAGAAUUGUGAGAAAUGUAAACACCUGGAGCCCCUUAUUAGGUUGAAUAGAGAAAGGAUGAAGAUACAGACGAGGCAGAAAAUAAGUGAAGAAGCAAAUUCCCUGAGAGGGCAGAAGAGCAUACUGACUUAUGGCCCACUGAACAUGCAUUGUACAUCUGCUUCAAGCAUUUUUCCCAAGCAAAGGGUGAAGUCUUUAAGGAGAGGGAUGAAUGUCUUCCUUUCUGUGACACCAAUACCAGUACUUCUUUGAAGAUAAGCUUUUCUUCCCAGAGAACCCAGGUCAGAUUGACAGGCUGUGUGUGUGCUAAACUGCAGCAAAACAUUUCCUUGUGACUCUGGGGGAGAAAAAUUCUAUUCCUGUCAUGUUUGAUGUAUGUUCUUUGUUUUGAAAUGGUAUGUAACCAUGCUGUAAACCAUGCUUCUCUGGAAUGCUCUCUUCCCUGGGGGAAGAUAACAGUUCCUGUCUAGUCCUCAACAUGGCUCAAUAGAUAUCAAUAAAUCUCACUCUAUCUUAUCUGUCGACUGAAUAUUGAUUAUUUGCAUU